GUGGGGAAUAUUGGACAAUGGGCGAAAGCCUGAUCCAGCCAUGCCGCGUGUGUGAAGAAGGCCUUUUGGUUGUAAAGCACUUUAAGCGAGGAGGAGGCUACUUGGAUUAAUACUCUAGGAUAGUGGACGUUACUCGCAGAAUAAGCACCGGCUAACUCUGUGCCAGCAGCCGCGGUAAUACAGAGGGUGCGAGCGUUAAUCGAAUUUACUGGGCGUAAAGCGUGCGUAGGCGGCUUUUUAAGUCGGAUGUGAAAUCCCUGAGCUUAACUUAGGAAUUGCAUUCGAUACUGGGGAGCUAGAGUAUGGGAGAGGAUGGUAGAAUUCCAGGUGUAGCGGUGAAAUGCGUAGAGAUCUGGAGGAAUACCGAUGGCGAAGGCAGCCAUCUGGCCUAAUACUGACGCUGAGGUACGAAAGCAUGGGGAGCAAACAGGAUUAGAUACCCCAGUAGUCC
rnacentral:rRNA from 1 species